rnacentral:rRNA from 1 species
GGGGCCAUCCCGGCUUACCAACCCGAUGCAAACUGCGAAUACCGGAGAAUGUUAUCACGGGAGACACACGGCGGGUGCUAACGUCCGUCGUGAAGAGGGAAACAACCCAGACCGCCAGCUAAGGUCCCAAAGUCAUGGUUAAGUGGGAAACGAUGUGGGAAGGCCCAGACAGCCAGGAUGUUGGCUUAGAAGCAGCCAUCAUUUAAAGAAAGCGUAAUAGCUCACUGGUCGAGUCGGCCUGCGCGGAAGAUGUAACGGGGCUAAACCAUGCACCGAAGCUGCGGCAGCGACACUGUGUGUUGUUGGGUAGGGGAGCGUUCUGUAAGCCUGUGAAGGUGUGUCGUGAGGCAUGCUGGAGGUAUCAGAAGUGCGAAUGCUGACAUAAGUAACGAUAAAGCGGGUGAAAAGCCCGCUCGCCGGAAGACCAAGGGUUCCUGUCCAACGUUAAUCGGGGCAGGGUGAGUCGACCCCUAAGGCGAGGCCGAAAGGCGUAGUCGAUGGGAAACGGGUUAAUAUUCCCGUACUUGGUGUUACUGCGAAGGGGGGACGGAGAAGGCUAUGUUGGCCGGGCGACGGUUGUCCCGGUUUAAGCGUGUAGGUGUGUGUUCCAGGUAAAUCCGGUUCACUUUAACACUGAGGCGUGACGACGAGGCACUACGGUGCUGAAGCAACAAAUGCCCUGCUUCCAGGAAAAGCCUCUAAGCAUCAGGUAACAUCAAAUCGUACCCCAAACCGACACAGGUGGUCAGGUAGAGAAUACCAAGGCGCUUGAGAGAACUCGGGUGAAGGAACUAGGCAAAAUGGUGCCGUAACUUCGGGAGAAGGCACGCUGACACGUAGGUGAAGUGAUUUACUCAUGGAGCUGAAGUCAGUCGAAGAUACCAGCUGGCUGCAACUGUUUAUUAAAAACACAGCACUGUGCAAACACGAAAGUGGACGUAUACGGUGUGACGCCUGCCCGGUGCCGGAAGGUUAAUUGAUGGGGUCAGCGCAAGCGAAGCUCCUGAUCGAAGCCCCGGUAAACGGCGGCCGUAACUAUAACGGUCCUAAGGUAGCGAAAUUCCUUGUCGGGUAAGUUCCGACCUGCACGAAUGGCGUAAUGAUGGCCAGGCUGUCUCCACCCGAGACUCAGUGAAAUUGAACUCGCUGUGAAGAUGCAGUGUACCCGCGGCAAGACGGAAAGACCCCGUGAACCUUUACUAUAGCUUGACACUGAACAUUGAGCCUUGAUGUGUAGGAUAGGUGGGAGGCUUUGAAGUGUGGACGCCAGUCUGCAUGGAGCCGACCUUGAAAUACCACCCUUUAAUGUUUGAUGUUCUAACGUGGACCCGUUACCCGGGUUGCGGACAGUGUCUGGUGGGUAGUUUGACUGGGGCGGUCUCCUCCUAAAGAGUAACGGAGGAGCACGAAGGUUGGCUAAUCCUGGUCGGACAUCAGGAGGUUAGUGCAAUGGCAUAAGCCAGCUUGACUGCGAGCGUGACGGCGCGAGCAGGUGCGAAAGCAGGUCAUAGUGAUCCGGUGGUUCUGAAUGGAAGGGCCAUCGCUCAACGGAUAAAAGGUACUCCGGGGAUAACAGGCUGAUACCGCCCAAGAGUUCAUAUCGACGGCGGUGUUUGGCACCUCGAUGUCGGCUCAUCACAUCCUGGGGCUGAAGUAGGUCCCAAGGGUAUGGCUGUUCGCCAUUUAAAGUGGUACGCGAGCUGGGUUUAGAACGUCGUGAGACAGUUCGGUCCCUAUCUGCCGUGGGCGCUGGAGAACUGAGGGGGGCUGCUCCUAGUACGAGAGGACCGGAGUGGACGCAUCACUGGUGUUCGGGUUGUCAUGCCAAUGGCACUGCCCGGUAGCUAAAUGCGGAAGAGAUAAGUGCUGAAAGCAUCUAAGCACGAAACUUGCCCCGAG